UCAACAUUACUUGAACAUGAUCUAUUCUAUAAGCUCGUAUCACUGUAUCCUUGAAUUCUAAGGAUACAAGUUUACAUUACUUGUAUUAUGGCUCGUGUUUGGUGUAAUACAAGUA
rnacentral:snoRNA from 1 species